rnacentral:tRNA from 1 species
GCCUAUAUGUCCGAGUGGUUAAGGAGACAGACUUGAAAUUUGUUGGACUACGCCCGCGCAGGUUCGAACCCUGCUGUUGACG